rnacentral:lncRNA from 1 species
GGAAAGACUGCUUCUGUGCUGCAGUCACGUUCCUUUUAUUAUUGGCCUUUGUUCCAAGAACAGCAGGCAACUGAUAAAAUGCUUGGAGCUUCCAAUCAUCCUCCUGUUAUUAGCUUGACACUACACAGCCUCAGAAUGCAGAAACGUACCUGCUGUGGAAGCUAGGGGGAAGAAUGAAAAAUGAUUAGUCUUUAUCAAAACUGCCUUCUUCCAGGACAUGAGCAAACAAGGGGGGCAGAGACAGGGAGUUAUUUUCUUCAGCAGCAGAUUCUCCCUAGACUGUACAUAAAAAAGAACAGAAUCAGCAAAACUACAUAUCCAGCAGACUGUUUCCAGCUUUCUACUAUGGCUGGAUGUGAAGCCAACAAGCCAUGGGCUAGGUAGGAAGUAUUAUGUCUGGACUUAUGUGCUGGUGUGUUUGUUGCCAG